GGCGUAAGCUCUGUGUUCGCUUAUGACCUGUAUCACAAGCUGAGCUGCUCACAUGUCUUAAUAUAUUUCCCAUCAGGCCCCCAUGGGAGAUGGGAUGUUUUGUCACCUUUGUUUUACAGGCUGAAGGAUCUCAAGACGCAGGGGAUUAAAGAUCCUGCCCGCUGCCCUGGUGGGACUUCUGCGACGGGCCUAACCGUUAGAGACGCUGAAGUUGGCAUCCUCCCUCCAGCAGUGAUGUAGCUAAAAGCCCGUAAAGGAUUGGUGCACUUUCCUGCGUGGAUCAGAUUAGCAGUACUAACAAUCCUGCCAUAAUCUAGUUUUUUGCUAAUAGCGUGUGCUGCACUGGUAUAACCACAGUUGUAUCAGCAUGAAUUUCCUUAACGUUUAAUACAGAAUAAUGGUGUGACUCUUGCAAGAACCACAGAGGAUAUGAGAAGCGUACGCCUACGCUCAGGAGCGCUGUUAUCCUCUCGGAUGUGGUGGGAACCCAUCCACUUACAUUGGUGGGCUCUGGGCAACGUCCUCGUUGUCCUCAGGUUUCACACCGCUGCUGGUGAAGACAUCUCCUACGGGCACACUUUUUAAGGCUCUUAAGGUUGCCAGUGCAGCGUGGAGAGGCCACGGAGAGAUGGAGGAGGCAGCGUUGCUGGAAGAGGUACAGCAUGAGCAGCCGACCGCAGCAGCUCAGGCGCUGAAUAAAUGAAGCGCCAGACAUUAGGCUGUCAGGCUUAUCUAAUCGGAGGCAAAUGUGUGGAAGAACCUGCUCCACGUCAGCUGCACUGCUGGAUCAUUUCAUCACGGAAAGGAAGCAACCCAUAUUUCUGUACUGAUGUGGUCAAAAAUUCAAAAUGCACCUAGACCUACUCCUCGGUUACUUUGCAGGCAUCAGGUACUGUUCCAAGUACUGCAAGGGAAUCUUAGUAUUCACAGAAAAUAGGUCCUAGAAUACCAGAAGAAACACAUUUUCCUAUAGCAGUUGUGUUACCCAUUACUUUUAUACAUCUUGAACAGACCAAUGUCAGAUUUACACGGGAGUUUAAGUUGAAAAAAAAGAGUGGUUCUCCCAAGUUAGACUGAGAAAAUCUUAACUGGGCCAGCUGAAUUUCCCCAAGAUACUGUGGAUUUAGUAAAGUAUAGACAAAACAAUACAAAUUUCCAUGGCAAUAACAAUGUGGAAGCAUUUGGGCUUGCUUAUGCAGAUACAAGCUGGACUCCCAGAAAAUUUCUCCCGGAAAAUUGAGCAAGAGUGUGUGAGCCUGUAGGACUUCAAUGACGCUUCAGUCUCUUGCAUGCGAAUGCUGACGAAACGCUGAGCUUCUGUGAACAAUUUAAGGCAGAGAAAAACAAGAGUAACAGAUUCUAAGUGGUUUUGGCUGCAUAAAAACACUGUUCUUACGUUGCUGCAUUGUAGUAAAUGCCUAAUAUGGAGCUAUAUGUAUAAUUCAAAUUAAGUCAGAGACUUUCAAAGACAGGAAGGGUCAGUAAGUACUUCAUUCCCAGUUCAGAUGCCUAGUCAUGCUUUGCACCUUAAACGUUAUGAUUCUGUCACGUCUUAAUUUUUCUACUGCUAUAUUUUGACAUAAA
rnacentral:lncRNA from 1 species